rnacentral:rRNA from 1 species
GACGAACGCUGGCGGCGUGCUUAACACAUGCAAGUCGAACGGUGAACCACUUCGGUGGGGAUCAGUGGCGAACGGGUGAGUAACACGUGGGCAACCUGCCCUUAGCUCUGGGAUAACCCCGGAACCGGGCGUAAUACCGAUAUCACUUCGAGCGGCAUCACUCGGAGUUGAAGAUCUGCUAGAUGGCCGCGGCCUAUCAGCUUGUUGGUGGGGUAAGUGGCCUACC